GAUCCGCAAGGUGUUGGACCGGGGAAUUCAGCCCGCGACCGUCAGGUUGCGGGUGCACUUUCUCCGGGACGAGAGCCACGACCGGGUCUGCGGCUGCUCGAGCAGACGAGAAGGUAGCCCCGCGUGCUUGCGCGUGGGGACUUUACAGCUCGACUGCCUCCGAGUCUUUAUGUCGCGGACCCGAGGACGCUUGCCGCGCGCCUCCGGCUCCGGGCCGUCCGUGUGCGUUCGACCUCGGCGUCUCUGCGUCUUCGUAGAGUGCCGUAACCGCGUGCGCGGACUCCGGCUCGGGUGCCUGGGUGUGCUUAGGGUCAGUGGCGAAUCAGUCGGUACUCCACCCGACCCGUCUUGAAACACGGACCAAGGAGUCUAACAUGUGCGCGAGUCAUAGGGACCACCGAAUCCCGAAGGCGCAAUGAAAGUGAAGGCCGCCUACGGCUGGCCGAGGCAGGAUCCCGUCGCAAGGCGGGCGCACUGCCGGCCCGUCUCGAUAGCGGCGUAGGUGUUCGCACCCAACGUUCGUCUACGAGGCGGAGCAAGAGCGUACACGUUGGUACCCGAAAGAUGGUGAACUAUGCCUGAGCAGGACGAAGUCAGAGGAAACUCUGAUGGAGGUCCGCAGCGAUUCUGACGUGCAAAUCGAUCGUCAAACUUGGGUAUAGGGGCGAAAGACUA
rnacentral:rRNA from 1 species